UCCCGCUAUUUCUAUGUUAAACCAAGAACUGAAAUUACAAUCACAGAUCAAGUUAACUUCCUGUCAUGCCUCAUUCACAUAGCUAAGCUUACUUUAAGUAUUAGGUAUAGUCUUUACCAUAUUUCUUGGUGAAGUUUCAUUUUUGUCUCGUCUUUUAUACUGAGGAUCAUCGUACCGUAAGAAGAAAUGUCUGGACGCGGAAAGGGUGGCUAGGGCUGGCGAAGGAAGGUGCCGAACGUGAACGAUUCGCAGUCUUCCCACACAUAUGACAAGAAAUGACUGAACGUGGAAAGCAAGGAACGGAGUUGGAUAAUGGACGUGUAAAGCGUCACCGUUACUGAAAGUGAUUCGUGACAACGUCUGGUGCAUCACCAAGGCACGAGUCUUUCCGAGACAUAGACAAGCAAGGCCUGCCGGGAAAAUGUGGGCAAAGGAGGUGCCAGGCAUCCGAGGAGACAGUGGUCCUGGCGGAAGCCGUCUUGGUGCCACUUCCCAUAGUUGGAUUCGUUGAAAGUCGUCUUCAUCAGCUUCUUGAGAAGACAUUUCAUAACUGGAUGUUUAGAGGACAGUCCGUAUGUCAAUCAUCUCUACAAGACCUGAUGGACAUCAGUCUUUCACGGACAUAUGACAAGAAAUGCCUGGACUUGCUAAGGGCGAAGGAGCUGGGAAUGUAGGCUUCAGGUGCUACCAUCACUGACGGUGCCUCGUGGCAACAUCCAGUUCAUCACCAAGCCAAGGAGUCAUUCAGUCUCUCCAAGGCUCCUUUUGAACGCAGGGCUUCAGUCCGUCUCUGUGUUAUACAGGCCCAAUGUGUGACUGGUUUGGUUUCCGUGGCUGUGUCUGUGUCGAUGGUCGGCAUUGUUUUUAGCGUUACUCUAAAUUCUGUUUUUUAGAAAACAGGAACUUUCCUGGUUCACCAUCUGGUGUCAUAUCUGUUUUAUGUCGUGGUCAGUGGUUGUCGGGGACCUAGACCAUUACAUAAUCUGCCUCGUGUCGUUAUCUUGGGUCCCGAACCAAGAGAACGACACAGGCCAGAAAUGAAGACAGGUGGUUGAAGAGCCUAUUUGAUAUUAGUAGUUUAGUCCUUUAGACACACUAUACUUUUUGGUGUCGACACAGUCACAGAAACCGAAUCAUUGCAGACAGAAUGCAAAGUGUACAUUACGUAUAUCAAGAUGUUAGAUUCAUGUAGUUAAGCUUGCCUAUUCCCAUAUUUUUGAGUCAAGCUUCAUGUUGGUCUCGUAUUGCAAAGAGGUUUGGAGAUACUGAGCUGUGUAGACAUGCGUCUUUUGUAAGUAGUCUUUGUUUUGAAUAUAUCAUAUCAUAUCAUGCCAUUCCAGUGCAGGGUGACUGUCUUUUGUUGUCACUUAGCCUUUGUGUUAAAAAUGCAUUUCAAUUGUAUUAUUGUAAUUCAGUAGAUCGAUUAAUAUUGCCCGUUUAUUGAUGAGUAUAG